ACACGACUACAUUAGAUACCCCCGUAGUCCUAGCCGUAAACGAUACUCGCUAGGUGUCGGCCACGGUGCGACCGUUGUCGGUGCCGUAGGGAAGCCGUGAAGCGAGCCACCUGGGAAGUACGGCCGCAAGGCUGAAACUUAAAGGAAUUGGCGGGGGAGCACCACAAGAGGUGGAGGCUGCGGUUCAAUUGGACUCAACGCCAGAAAUCUUACCGGGACCGACAGCAACAUGAAGGCCAGGCUGAAGACUUUGCCGGAUUAGCUG
rnacentral:rRNA from 1 species